GUGAGGAAUAUUGCGCAAUGGAGGCAACUCUGACGCAGCCAUGCCGCGUGCAGGAAGAAGGCGCUACGCGUUGUAAACUGCUUUUAACCGGGAAGAAACCCCAGGACGUGUCCUGGGUUGACGGUACCGGAGGAAUAAGCACCGGCUAACUUCGUGCCAGCAGCCGCGGUAAUACGAAGGGUGCAAGCGUUAUCCGGAUUCAUUGGGUUUAAAGGGUGCGUAGGCGGAGCGUUAAGUCAGUGGUGAAAUCCUGCAGCUUAACUGUAGACUUGCCAUUGAUACUGGCGCUCUUGAGUGCGCUUGAAGUGGGCGGAAUGUGCCGUGUAGCGGUGAAAUGCUUAGAUAUGGCACAGAACACCAAUUGCGAAGGCAGCUCACUAAGGCGAUACUGACGCUGAGGCACGAAAGCGUGGGGAUCGAACAGGAUUAGAUACCCGUGUAGUCC
rnacentral:rRNA from 1 species